GAUGAACGCUGGCGGCGUGCCUAAUACAUGCAAGUCGAGCGAACAGAUGAGGAGCUUGCUCCUCUGACGUUAGCGGCGGACGGGUGAGUAACACGUGGAUAGCCUACCUAUAAGACUGGGAUAACUUCGGGAAACCGGAGCUAAUACCGGAUAAUAUAUUGAACCGCAUGGUUCAAUAGUGAAAGACGGUUUUGCUGUCACUUAUAGAUGGAUCCGCGCCGCAUUAGCUAGUUGGUAAGGUAACGGCUUACCAAGGCAACGAUGCGUAGCCGACCUGAGAGGGUGAUCGGCCACACUGGAACUGAGACACGGUCCAGACUUCUACGGGAGGCAGCAGUAGGGAAUCUUCCGCAAUGGGCGAAAGCCUGACGGAGCAACGCCGCGUGAGUGAUGAAGGUCUUCGGAUCGUAAAACUCUGUUAUUAGGGAAGAACAAAUGUGUAAGUAACUAUGCACGUCUUGACGGUACCUAAUCAGAAAGCCACGGCUAACUACGG
rnacentral:rRNA from 1 species